rnacentral:rRNA from 1 species
UGCUUCUAAUCAAUCGUAAUUGGGGUCUCCUUUGGGGGGGAAUCCACUUUUGCCUCUUUUCAUUUUGACCUCGAAUCAGGUGGGACUACCCGCUGAACUUAAGCAUAUCAAUAAGCGGAGGAAAAGAACUAACAAGGAUUCCCCCUAGUAACGGCGAGUGAAGCGGGAAGAGCUCAAAUUUAAAAUCUGACAGUCUUCGAUUGUCCGAAUUGUAAUCUAGAGAAGCGUUUUCCGCGCUGGACUGUGUACAAGUUUCCUGGAUACGGAACAUCAUAGAGGGUGAGAAUCCCGUCUUUGACACAGACUCCCAGUGCUUUGUGAUGCGCUCUCGACGAGUCGAGUUGUUUGGGAUUGCAGCUCAAAAUGGGAGGUAAAUUCCUUCUAAAGCUAAAUAUUGGCGAGAGACCGAUAGCGAACAAGUACCGUGAGGGAAAGAUGAAAAGCACUUUGGAAAGAGAGUUAAACAGUACGUGAAAUUGUUAAAAGGGAAACGCUUGAAGUCAGUCAUGUCUGCUUGGACUCAGCCUAGCCUCGGCUUGGUGCAUUUCCUUGCAGACAGGCCAGCGUCCAUGCUGUUUCCUGGAAAAGGGGUGAAGGAAUGUGGCUCCUCUGGGAGUGUUAUAGCCUUCACUCGUAUACAGGGGACUGUAUGGAGUGGUACAGCACGCUUUAGUGGUGCUUGUGUUGGCAUAAUGGCUUUAAACGACCCGUCUGGAAAACACGGACCA